AUACGGAGGGUGCAAGCGUUACUCGGAAUCACUGGGCGUAAAGCGCGCGCAGGCGGCCAUUUAAGUUGGAUGUGAAAGCCUACGGCUCAACCGUAGAACUGCAUCCAAAACUAUUUGGCUAGAGUGUGGGAGAGGAAGAUGGAAUUAGUUGUGUAGGGGUAAAAUCCGUAGGGAUAACUAGGAAUACCAAAAGCGAAGGCAAUCUUCUGGAACAUUACUGACGCUGAGGCGCGAAAGCGUGGGGAGCAAACAGGAUUAGAAACCCGGGUAGUCC
rnacentral:rRNA from 1 species